rnacentral:rRNA from 1 species
GACGAACGCUGGCGGCGUGCCUAAUACAUGCAAGUAGAACGCUGAAGAGAGGAGCUUGCUCUUCUUGGAUGAGUUGCGAACGGGUGAGUAACGCGUAGGUAACCUGCCUUGUAGCGGGGGAUAACUAUUGGAAACGAUAGCUAAUACCGCAUAACAAUAGGUGACACAUGUCAUUUAUUUGAAAGGGGCAAUUGCUCCACUACAAGAUGGACCUGCGUUGUAUUAGCUAGUAGGUGAGGUAACGGCUCACCUAGGCGACGAUACAUAGCCGACCUGAGAGGGUGAUCGGCCACACUGGGACUGAGACACGGCCCAGACUCCUACGGGAGGCAGCAGUAGGGAAUCUUCGGCAAUGGGGGCAACCCUGACUCAACCACGCACCGUGAAUGGAGAGAUUUUCGAGCUGAAAGCUCUGAAUUCCUCAAAAACUGCUGCGGA